AUUUGUAUGAAACUUAGAAAGAGCUGUAACUGUUACAAUAUUCCAAUUCCCCAGUGGAUAGAGCCUUAGAGAGAAUCAUAGAAAGAUUUGGACUGGAAGACGUCUUCUCAAAGAUAAUUGAGUCGAAGCUCACAUCAUCUAGUCCAACAAGUACUGCAUUAUUACAUCUGACAUGAAGGUUAUGGAAGUCAGCACUAAACUUUCAAGGUUUUUCCCUGAAGGAUGAGAGGACAUCAGAACUGAGCAUUUUCCCAGGCCUCCAAAACAGUUUACAUUGGCUACCGAUAGUACCCCAGUGGACCAAGAAGCAAAUCGCAUAAAGGUGGUGCUGAACUUAUCACAAUGAUGCUUUCUAAGGGUGGCCUUUGAGCCACAAAGUAACUUCAAGGCCAUGAACAUCCCUCAGGACACAUUGUCUCCUGCAGCUGCCUAAAA
rnacentral:lncRNA from 1 species